UCCCUGGUGGUCCAGUGGCUAAAGGACUUUGUGCUCCCAAGGCAGGGGGCCUGGGUUCGAUUCCUGGUCAAGGAA
rnacentral:tRNA from 1 species